rnacentral:rRNA from 1 species
AUACGAAGGGGGCUAGCGUUGUUCGGAUUUACUGGGCGUAAAGCGCACGUAGGCGGAUUGAUUAGUUAGGGGUGAAAUCCCGAGGCUCAACCUCGGAACUGCCUUUAAUACUGUCAAUCUCGAGACCGGAAGAGGUGAGUGGAACUCCUAGUGUAGAGGUGGAAUUCGUAGAUAUUAGGAAGAACACCAGUGGCGAAGGCGCCUAACUGGUCCGGUACUGACGCUGAGGAACGAAAGCGUGGGGAGCAAACAGGAUUAGAUACCCUAGUAGUCC